AAGGUACGCCGGGGAUAACAGGCUAAUCACCCUCUAGAGACCUUAUCGACGGGGUGGUUUGGCACCUCGAUGUUGGAUUAUCGCAUCCUGGAAUUGAAAGUGAUUCCAAGGGUUUGGCUGUUCGCCAAGGAAGGCGGUACAUGAUCUGAGUUCAGAACGUCGUGAGACAGUUUGGUCCCUAUCUACCGCAAUUGUUAAAAAUUGAAAGGAUUAAACCCUAGUACGAGAG
rnacentral:rRNA from 1 species